rnacentral:tRNA from 1 species
CUGCUAUGGUGUAAAUUAGCACGAUAUCUUUUCAUGAUAUAAGUGUACUAAGUACUAGCAGU